GACCUCGGAUCAGGUAGGGAUACCCGCUGAACUUAAGCAUAUCAAUAAGCGGAGGAAAAGAAACCAACAGGGAUUGCCUCAGUAACGGCGAGUGAAGCGGCAACAGCUCAAAUUUGAAAUCUGGCUCUUUCAGGGUCCGAGUUGUAAUUUGUAGAAGAUGCUUUGGGUGUAGCUCCGGUCUAAGUUCCUUGGAACAGGACGUCAUAGAGGGCGAGAAUCCCGUAUGUGACUGGGUGCUUUCGCUCGUGUAAAGCUCUUUCGACGAGUCGAGUUGUUUGGGAAUGCAGCUCAAAAUGGGUGGUAAAUUUCAUCUAAAGCUAAAUAUUGGCCAGAGACCGAUAGCGCACAAGUAGAGUGAUCGAAAGAUGAAAAGCACUUUGGAAAGAGAGUUAAACAGUACGUGAAAUUGUUGAAAGGGAAGCGCUUGCAACCAG
rnacentral:rRNA from 1 species